rnacentral:lncRNA from 1 species
AGAGGAUGAGAGCUUCUCUGUUCAGAGUGAAGAGGGUGAUUUGGCUUCGCCUUAAGAAUGCUCGUAGAAUCCGCAAGCUGGUGUGGUCCAGACUCCGUUUCAUUUGCCGCAGGAGAAGAAGAUUUGUUCGCCUCAUGAACCAACACAACUACUACAACAAUUAUUACAGCACCAGCAACAACAACAACUCUUCCUGCUUCUGGUAGAAUCUUUACUGUUUCUUCUUUUUGUUUGUUUUAUUCCUCUACUUUGUAGCUAGCUAGCCUUGGAUUUGUUAAAGAAUCUUGUUU